UUGAGGAAUAUUGGUCAAUGGGCGAGAGCCUGAACCAGCCAAGUCGCGUGAAGGAUGACUGUCUUAUGGAUUGUAAACUUCUUUUAUACGGGAAUAACAAGAGCCACGUGUGGCUCCCUGCAUGUACCGUAUGAAUAAGCAUCGGCUAACUCCGUGCCAGCAGCCGCGGUAAUACGGAGGAUGCGAGCGUUAUCCGGAUUUAUUGGGUUUAAAGGGUGCGUAGGCGGCCUGUUAAGUCAGCGGUGAAAUCUAGGAGCUUAACUCCUAAAUUGCCAUUGAUACUGGCGGGCUUGAGUGUAGAUGAGGUAGGCGGAAUGCGUGGUGUAGCGGUGGAAUGCAUAGAUAUCACGCAGAACUCCGAUUGCGAAGGCAGCUUACUAAGGUACAACUGACGCUGAAGCACGAAAGCGUGGGUAUCAAACAGGAUUAGAUACCCUGGUAGUCCACGCAGUAAACGAUGAUAACUGGGCGUAUGCGAUAUACAGUAUGCUCCUAAGCGAAAGCGUUAAGUUAUCCACCUGGGGAGUACGCCGGCAACGGUG
rnacentral:rRNA from 1 species